rnacentral:rRNA from 1 species
CCUACGGGGGGCAGCAGUGGGGAAUAUUGCACAAUGGGGGAACCCUGAUGCAGCGACGCCGCGUGAGUGAGGAAGUAUUUCGGUAUGUAAAGCUCUAUCAGCAGGGAAGAAAAAAGACGGUACCUGACUAAGAAGCUCCGGCUAAAUACGUGCCAGCAGCCGCGGUAAUACGUAUGGAGCAAGCGUUAUCCGGAUUUACUGGGUGUAAAAGGUGCGUAGGCGGCCUGCUAAGUCUGGAGUGAAAGGUACCGGCUCAACCGGUACAGGCUCUGGAAACUGGCGGGCUAGAGAGCAGGAGAGGGCGG